GAUCCUUAUGCAACUGGGGGAGAGGUUUCACAGAUACAGCAAAUCCUUCAAUAACAAGUAUCUCCUGCUCUGAGUGCUUCUCUCAUUCAGCCUGUAACUGAGGAGGAAACCAAAUCAAGCAUUAUGGAGUAUGGAUGGUGCAAAAGCACCAGGACCUGAUGGAUUCAGUUCUCACUUUCUUCAAAACUUCCUGGGACAUUGUUGGGAGGGAAAUGUUGUAUUAUACUAUCAGAAGCAGACUGUUGGGAGUUCCAAAUAUGCAAAGGAAAGUCAUGCAGGGCCAGCUUGGGGUGUGGAUGUUUGCUGAACAUUAAUUGCUAAUGUGUUAUAUUGAGGUCCGUGUGCCUCUUUAGUCAUACAUGUUUUUUCUUAGGAUCAAAUGUUUCCUGAUGUACUGAGGCUUUUUGAAGCUUAUAUUGAGUAUCAAUAAGAGAAUAGCUGGAUUCGAUCCAAAAAAAAAAAAAA